GACUCCUACGGGAGGCAGCAGUAGGGAAUCUUCGGCAAUGGACGGAAGUCUGACCGAGCAACGCCGCGUGAGUGAAGAAGGUUUUCGGAUCGUAAAGCUCUGUUGUAAGAGAAGAACGAGUGUGAGAGUGGAAAGUUCACACUGUGACGGUAUCUUACCAGAAAGGGACGGCUAACUACGUGCCAGCAGCCGCGGUAAUACGUAGGUCCCGAGCGUUGUCCGGAUUUAUUGGGCGUAAAGCGAGCGCAGGCGGUUAGAUAAGUCUGAAGUUAAAGGCUGUGGCUUAACCAUAGUACGCUUUGGAAACUGUUUAACUUGAGUGCAAGAGGGGAGAGUGGAAUUCCAUGUGUAGCGGUGAAAUGCGUAGAUAUAUGGAGGAGGAGGAACACCGGGGCGAAAGCGGCUCUCU
rnacentral:rRNA from 1 species